rnacentral:rRNA from 1 species
UGAACGCUGGCGGCGUGCCUAAUACAUGCAAGUCGAGCGAACAGACGAGGAGCUUGCUCCUCUGACGUUAGCGGCGGACGGGUGAGUAACACGUGGAUAACCUACCUAUAAGACUGGGAUAACUUCGGGAAACCGGAGCUAAUACCGGAUAAUAUAUUGAACCGCAUGGUUCAAUAGUGAAAGACGGUUUUGCUGUCACUUAUAGAUGGAUCCGCGCCGCAUUAGCUAGUUGGUAAGGUAACGGCUUACCAAGGCGACGAUGCGUAGCCGACCUGAGAGGGUGAUCGGCCACACUGGAACUGAGACACGGUCCAGACUCCUACGGGAGGCAGCAGUAGGGAAUCUUCCGCAAUGGGCGAAAGCCUGACGGAGCAACGCCGCGUGAGUGAUGAAGGUCUUCGGAUCGUAAAACUCUGUUAUUAGGGAAGAACAAAUGUGUAAGUAACUAUGCACGUCUUGACGGUACCUAAUCAGAAAGCCACGGCUAACUACGU